rnacentral:snRNA from 1 species
GUGCUCAUUUCAUCAGCAGCACCUAUACUAAAACUGGAAUGAUACAGAGAAGAUUAGCAUGGCCCCUGAGCAAGGAUGACAUGCAAAUACGAGAAGGGUUCCAUAUUUUU